rnacentral:lncRNA from 1 species
CCUUUCCCGGAGUGCUGCGGCCAGGGCUCGCCCGCUCCUCCGGCGGCCUCCGCUGGGGGCCCACUACAGCCCAGCGCCAGCCAGCCAGCCAGCCCAGCUUCUCGAAUCGGUCCUAAGCUGAGGCCGCCCUGCGCUGCAAAACUUGUGUCCACUCUCGGACCCAAUCUGUCCUGGACGGACUUGGCUCGUGGCAGGCGAAAGCGUCGUUUCCAACUGCAGCUGUUUGAAUUCUGGCGCCACACCCGCGCCACGUAGGGCCAAGUCGGCCGCCAGACUCGUGCGAGAGGGCGGGACGGCCUCGUUCUGACUCCGGGAGGCUAUAUAAGGAGCUACUGGCUGCGCACUUCGGUCUUUUACGUCGGCCUUCGCGAGCGUCUGGGCGGGUGGUAGGUGAGUGGGUAUUGCGGGCUAGUAUCCGAGCAAAAGAUGGUGGCGCAGGCCGAGUUAAGAGCUUUAAUCCUGUGAAGACAUCUUAGUGAAGAGUUUAGAGUGCUGAGAGUUGAAAGCUUGCACGUGGGAAACGUGCGGCCGGACUGCCACAUGUACUGAGGUUGAGUCGUGACGGCCACAGGCUCCGAGUUUUGGCGUGAGGAACCGCUGAUCGGCCACGGGCGCCGAACUUGCUGGCCUCCGGCAUGUGCCUGAGCGGCGGCGGAAAAACCACCUUAAUUGGGGCGGAGGGUUAGUUUUAACAGCAAAGGGCCUUUACUAAAAUGGCGAAGGCCUUCCGUCGGCGUUGUUUUAAAAUGGGAAGCCUCGACCCUGUAUUGAAACUGAGCUGUUCGAAGGCGGCGUUGUGUGCAAUUCGGAUUAAUGAAGGGGAAGGGUUUUGUGUGGAAAAACGCCUUGGAGUGUGACAUUUCUGCGAGAAUGCUUAAAUACCGAUUUCCCGCAGGAACAAUGGCGCUGUCUUCAGUGGCACAGUGGAGCAGCUCUGAAGAUGCAAAGAUACACGAAAAAACUUCCAGAACAUCUGGGAGAAUAUUUAAUGGAAAAUCGCUUGGUUAAAACCUGACACUUUUAACAGUGAACAGCGUUCUGAGUGUGGACGAGUAGCCAGUGAAGAUAAUGAAUGUCGAAUGUGACUGACUAGCAGCUUCAUUUUGAAUGAGGGUCGCUGUCUGCCCAUUGAUAGAGGCCAGAUUGUCUUGGAAGUUCCAAAGUUGCAACGAUUUCUGGCUAGUGCCACGAGGUUUACUUGACUGUUGUGUGAAAAGCUGAUAAGAAAACCAUCCAGAAAAAAGCUCUUCGUUUUACAAACAUGAAAAUAAAACAUUUAGUUGAAUCCAUGGACAUGAAACCCACAGAUAUAGAGGGUUGGCCCGGUGCAGUGGCUCACGCCUGUAAUCCCAGCACUUUGGGAGGCCAAGGCGGGUGGAUCACCUGAGGUCAGAAGCUUGAGACCAGCCUGGCCAACAUGGGUACUGCUUUCUCUUGCUGCAGCUUGCUUCCUCCCUCAGGUAUGAAGUUAAGGUUAGUAUCUUCCUUGCUCCGUACUGCCACUUUUUUUUUUUUUUUUUUGAGACAGAGUCUCACUCUGUCACCCAGGCUGGAGGGCAGUGUCACAAUCUCGGCUCACUGCAACGUCCGGCUCCCAGGUUCAAGCGAUUCUUAUGCCUCAGCCUCCCUAGUAGCUGGGAUUACAGAUGCAUGUCACCACACCCAGCCAAUGUAUGUAUUUUUAUUUAUUUUUUAUUUUAUUUUAUUUUUUUGAGAUGGAGUCUUGCCCUGUUGCCCAGGCUGGAGUGCAGUGGAACGCUCUCGGCUCACUGCAGCCUCCACCUCCCAGGUUCAAGCGAUUCUCUGCCUUAGCAUCCCAAGUAGCUGGGAUUACAGGCGUGUGCCACCACGCCCAGCUAAUUUUUGUAUUUUUAGUAGAAAUGGGGUUUCACCAUGUUGGCUAGGCUGGUCUUGAACUCCUGACCUCAAGCGAUCCACCUGCCUCUGCCUCCCAAAGUGCUGCAAUUACAGGCGUGAGACACCAUGCCCAGCCUAAUUUAUAUACUUUUAGUAGAGACAAGGUUUCACCAUGUUGGCCAGGCUAGUGUUGAACUCCUGGCCUCAAGUGAUCUGCCCGCCUCAGCCUCCCAAAGUGCUGGGAUUACAGGCGUGAGCCACCGUGUCCGGCCUCCCUACUGCCACUUCUUAACAAUUACUCCUCCAUCUUUAUGUAAAACCCCCUGAUCUUUUCAUGUUCAUGGCCACUUGGCCUGUCACCUUUUGUCUUACUUCGAGGCUAUCAUUUUCUUACUUUGUGGUUACUGCCCCUUAUUAAUUUUGAAGAGUUUGGGACCAGGUUCAUGGCUCUAUUCUGUAAUAUCUAUUUCUAAUAUUUACAUGUCAAUGUCCAUACAAUUUGGUUUAUCAGUUCUUUGACUUCCUCCACUUUCUCCCUCCACUUCAGUCCUUUUUACCUGGGAUUCCACUGUCCCAUAGAGAACCAUGGAUAAAAUUCAAGAAGUCUAUGAACUUGGACAGGGGAAAAUAUGUAUACUUUUACUAAACACUAACUGAAAUUUAGCAUUUCUUUCAAUAACAAAUGUAAACUGUACACCACAAUAGUACUAGCAAUAUCUAUGGGUUUGUCACCAAUAGAAAGCACAGCUAUUUUUUUUUCCAAAGAGUCAUCUGCAUCCCCAUGUUUAUUGCAGCACUAUUCACAAUAGCUAAGAUAUGAAAUCAUCCUAGGUGUCCAACAACAGAUAAAUGGGUAAAUAAAAUUUAGGCUGGACACAGUGACUCACACUUGCAAUCCCAGCACUUUGGGAAGCUGAAGCAGGAGAAUUGCUUGAGCCAAGGAGUUCAAAACCAGCCUGGGCAACAUAGAAAGAUUCCAUCUCUAUGAAAAAUUUAAAAAAUUAGCUAAGUACAGUAGUGUGUGCCUGUAGUCCCAGUUCCUUGGGAGGCUGAGGUGGGAGGAUCACUUGAGCCCAGGAGAUUGAGGCUGCAAUGAGCCAUGCAGUGAGCCAUGAUAGCACCACUGCACUCCAACCUGAGCAACAGAGCAAGACCCUGUCUCAAAAAGAAAAAAAAUGGAAAAUGUGGUGUGUAUAUAUACACAAUGGGCUACUAUUCAGUCAUAAAAAAGAUGACAUCAUGUCAUUUGCAGUAACAUGAAUGGAACUGGAAGACACUAUGUUAAGUGAAAUAAGCCAGGAACAGAAAGUUAAACACCACAUGUUCUCACUCAUGUGGAAACUAAAAAAAGUUGAUCUUGCCAGGCAUGGUGGCUCACGCCUGUAAUCCCAGCACUUUGGGAGGCCGAGGUGGGUAGAACACCUGAGGUCAGGAGUUCGAGACCAGCCUGGCCAACAUGGUGAAACCCUGUCUCUACUAAAAACACGAAAAUUAGCUGGAUGUGGUGGUGGGUGCCUGUAAUCCCAGCUACUCAAGAGGCUGAGGCAGGAGAAUUGCUUGAACCCAGGAGGCGGAGGUUGCAGUGAGCCAAGAUUGCGCCAUUGUACUCCAGCCAGGGGGACAAGAGUGAGACUUUGUCUCAAAAAAAAAAAAAAAAAAAGUUGAUCUCAUAGAAGUAAAAUGUAGAACGAAGGAUACUAGAGAUUAGCAGGGGUAUGGGAGAUGGGAAGGUAGGGAGAGAUUUGUUAAAGGAUUUAAAAUUAAGGCCAGGUGUGGUGGCUUAUGCCUAUAAUCCCAGCACUUUGGGAGGCCGAGGUGGGCGGAUCACCUGAGGUCAGGAGUUCAAGACCAGACUGACCAACAUGGAGAAACCCCGUCUCUCCUAAAAAUACAAAAAACUAACUGGGCAUGGUGGUGCAUGCCUGUAAUUCCAGCUACUCGGGAGGCUGAGGCAGGAGAAUCGCUUGAACCCGGGAGGCGGAGGUUGCCAUGAGCCGAGAUUGCGCCACUACACUCCAGCCUGGGCAACAAAAGCGAAACUCCAUCUCAAAAAAAAAAAAAAGGCAUAUAAAAUUAUAGCUGGGUAGGAGGAAUAAGUUCUAGUGUUCUACACCACUGUGGGAUGACUAUAGUUAACAAUAAUACAUACUUUCAGGUAACAUGAAGGAGGAUAUUGAAUGUUCCUAACACAAAGAAAUGAUAAAUGUUUGAGAUGGUGGAUGUACUAAUUGCCCUGAUCUGAUGACUAUACAUUAUAUAUAUUGAAACAUCAGUAUGUACCCCAUGAAUAUGUACAAUUAUAUGUCAACUUAAACACAUUUAAAAGUAAAAAAAAAAAAAUCCAAAACACGCAAGGAACUGAGCCAGCACGAAUAAGAAUUAGCAAAAUCUUCAAACCUCAAGACCAGACUCACAAGGACUUCAGAUACAGAAAUUUUAAAUAAAAAUUAUAAAAUGAGUAUGUUAAAAUGUUUAAAGAAAUAAAGGAAGGCAUUGGUAUAUGAUACAGAAAUAAAAGACCAUCAAAAAUAAUUUGGAUGACAUGAAAACAAUCAAAUAGACAUUCUGGAAAUAAAACAUAUAUAAUGGACAGGAGUGAAUGUCCCUAGGCUCCUGACCUCUCUGCAUUUGCAAGUAGUCUGAGCCAGAAAACGCUGAAAGACCUCAGAAGCCAAGUGGAAGCCCCACAGUGAAGCCAGGAGGGCCUUCAUUUCAGACUCAGCAGCUGCCCACGGUGGUGGCUGACACACUGCUGUAGCAUGUGUGCUGCCUGAACACUCACUGGCCACCCCCACAGCCCAGAGCACUGGCAUCAUCUGUACUAUCGGCCUAGUUUCCUGAUUGGUGGAAAUGUUGAUGAUUAAGUCUGGAAUUAAUAUGGCUUGUCUGAACUUACGAGUACCACGCAGAGACCAUCAGGAAUGUGUGCACAACUAUGGAAAGCCUUGCUUCUGACCCCAAUCUCUAGCGGCUAGUUGCUGUGGCUCUGGACACUAACGGGCCUGAGAUCUGAACUGGGCUCACACAGAGCAGUGUCCCCAUGGAGGUGGAGCUGAAGAAGGGAGCCACCUUCAGAUCACACUGGAUAAUGCCUACAUGGAAAACUUAUGAUGAGAACUUCCUGUAGCUGGACUACAAGAACAUUUGUAAGGUAGUGGAAAGGGGCAGCAAGAUCUAUAGAUUUAAUAACUUAUUUCUCUGCAGUUGGAGCAGAAAGGUACUGACCUCCUGGUGAUAGCAAUGGAAAAUUAUGGCUCCUUGGGCAGCAAAAAGGGUGUAGACCUUCCUGGUGACUGUGGACCUGCUUGCCAUGUCAGAAAAGGACAUCCAGGAUCUGAAGUUUGGGGUAGAAUGGGAUGUGGAUAUGGUGUUUGCCUCUUUCAUCCAUGUGGCAUCUAAUGUCCAUGAAAUUAGAAAGGCAAUUAUUGCAAACUGGAGCAAGGUGCCCACUUGCCCACCAGAGUUAGGCUCUUACCUUCCCAGAGGAACUGAGACCCACAGCUAUUUUUAUAUAUCUUACAGUUCAGAUCAGAUACAAAUAUGUAAACCUCUACAUUAUUUCUAUGUAGAAAUUAUGAUACUCUUUAAGCCUGUCACAGAUUUUGUUAUUUAAUGCAAAGAAGCACAUAUAUUACUAUGGGACACUUUUGGUUUGUUUAAAUAUUUUGAUAGUUGUAUUUUAAUGUAAAGGGUUUCAUUUGUAAUCUUAUACAGAUGGUCCCCAACUUACAAUGGUUCAACUUAUGAUUUUUCAUCUUUACAACGGCAUGAAAGCAAUACAUUUUCAGUAGAAACUGUAGGUCAAAUACUCAUACAACCAUUCUGUUUUUCACUUUACUGCAGUAUUUAAUAAACAUAUGAGAUAUUCAAGAUUUUAACUUUGCGUUAGAUGAUUCUGUCUAAUUAUAAGAUAAAGUAAGUGUUCUGAGCACAUUUAAGGUAGACUAAGAAAACUAUGAUGUUCAGUAGGUUAGUUAUAUUAAAUGCAUUUUCAACUUACAGUAUUUUCAAUGGGGUUUAUUGGAACGUAACCUCAUUGUAAAUUGAAGAGCAUCUUUUAUGCAUUUUUAAAUAUGUUUUGAGAAGGGGUCAAUAGGCUUCACCAGACUGGCAAAGUGUCUAUGGCAUGAAAAGUUAAGGACCUCUGCAUUUCAUAUCAAAUCCUACUUGUUUUUAACUUCCC